rnacentral:rRNA from 1 species
UGGGCUUGAUGCUGGCGUCUUUACCGAUGCAUGUGCUCAGCCCCGCUCUCAAAUCCACUCAACACCUGUGCACUUUCAAAGUUGUAGUCCUCCGUAAUGGGAGCUGCAGGUCUUUAUGAUCUGUUGGGACUGCGCUUUGCCCUUUAUCACAAACUAUAUGCAUUGUCUUGUAGAAUGUUAGCCUCAUAGUGGGCGAAAUUUAAUACAACUUUCAACAACGGAUCUCUUGGCUCUCGCAUCGAUGAAGAACGCAGCGAAAUGCGAUAAGUAAUGUGAAUUGCAGAAUUCAGUGAAUCAUCGAAUCUUUGAACGCACCUUGCGCUCCUUGGUAUUCCGAGGAGCAUGCCUGUUUGAGUGUCGUGAAAUUAUCAACUCCCUUUCUUUAUUGAAAGGUGAGCUUGGACUUGGGGACUGCUGGUUCACGCCGGCUUCCCUUGAAUGUAUUAGCUGGAAUUUGAUUCGCAGCAUAUAUGCGGUGUGAUAAUGUCGUCACUGUGUAGCUCGGGUUGUCUGGCUUCUAACCGUCCUUCACGGGACAAUUUGAUCAAUUUGACCUCAAAUCAGGUAGGACUACCCGCUGAACUUAAGCAUAUCAAUA